UACAGAGGGUGCAAGCGUUAAUCGGAAUGACUGGGCGUAAAGGGUGCGUAGGUGGUUAUUUAAGUGAGCUGUGAAAUCCCUGGGCUUAACCUGGGAAUGGCAUCUCAUACUGGAUAGCUAGAGUAGGUCAGAGGAGUGUGGAAUUUCCGGUGUAGCGGUGAAAUGCGUAGAGAUCGGAAAGAACACCAGUGGCGAAGGCGGCACUCUGGGGCCAUACUGACACUGAAGCACGAAAGCGUGGGGAUCAAACAGG
rnacentral:rRNA from 1 species